rnacentral:lncRNA from 1 species
AUGGUACUCUAUCUAAGGAGUACCAAUCUGACCAUGAAGGUUGGUGUGAUUAACACCCAUCACUCCUAUAUAAAUGUUCCCAGGCCGGCAGUACAGGAUGCUGAUGUGGGCGUAGGAAGGAUAGAGAAUGGGAACAGGAGGUCUCUGGCUGAAGCGUAUGAUAGUUCAUCCAUAUUACAAACACAGGAGCAUGGGGACAGCUGCAGUGGUUAUUCUUCCACAAACAACUCACAGGCACUGAAAAGAGUGCUACAGAGAAUACCCAACUUUUUGGUUACCUUAAAAGACUGGGAGAAGAGGAUUUCCGAUGAAGGCUGCCAAACCUCAGACUCUUUUUUGGAAAAAAUUCAAGGUCCACAGCUAAGAUGGAGCAAUAAUUGUAAUAAUCAGAAUCUCUGUGAUGAAAUAUCAGAAGAAAUCAUGGAACAGCACCUACCUAGUGCCAUUGCACAGUACAAUGUUAACAACAACAGUAAUAAAGAUGAGUAAGUACUCUACAGUUUCAUUAUAAAGUUAUUUGUAUUGUAGAGAAUAGUAAAAAAAAAGCAAUAUACCUAGUUCUUUCCUUGCAAAUUAUUGCAUCAUACAAGUAAUCCCAUAAGGAAUUUCAUGUACAUCUGAACUAUAUGCACAGCAAAUGUUUUUCUAACACAAGUUAGUAGUGU